GCACCUUGACUCCUCACCAUCUCUUGACACCAACACUUUCUGCCGAGAUGUCAAAUGACCCAAAAGUCUCUCGAGUCAUCUGCAUGACCUUCUAGGACCCAUCAAACUGAGAACAGUGCAGGAAGCAGGUGUUUCAGCCGUGGAUACUAUAGUGAGAACAGCUGUUACAUGUAGCACGCUGGAGAAAAGAAGCAGUUUGAUGCUGCUUCACACAGAACCCAGCAAAAUCCGUCAGAGACCGCUCCACAUCCAGAGACAAUUUACCUGGUUGGCCCUCAGGGCAGAAAUGUGGAUGACAAAGAGCCAAGGAUGUCAGAUUUUGAGCCUACUGCUGGCUGAGUUUCUUAGCUUCUAGCUGACAAACCCAAAGUCUAUUACUGAAGUGGAAACAAUUAAAAGCUCUGGUUUUUUCAUUGUAAUGUAAUUACAGCAACAUCUCUCAUACAAAUUAUG
rnacentral:lncRNA from 1 species